CUGGCGGCGCGUCUUAAGCAUGCAAGUCGAACGGCAAGAGGUAGCAAUACCUCCUAGAGUGGCGGACUGGUGAGUAACACGUGGGUGACAUACCCUUCAGAUGGGGAUAGCUAUUAGAAAUAGUAGAUAAUACCGAAUACGAGCACAGGGGUUAGAGAUCUGUGAGGAAAGGAGCUAAGGCUCCGCUGAAGGAAUGGCCUGCGGCCCAUUAGCUAGUUGGUGAGGUAAGAGCCCACCAAGGCGAUGAUGGGUAUCCGGCCUUAGAGGGUGAACGGACACAUUGGGACUGAGAUACGGCCCAGACUCCUACGGGAGGCAGCAGCUAAGAAUAUUCCGCAAUGGACGAAAGUCUGACGGAGCGACGCCGCGUGGAUGAAGAAGGCCGGAAGGUUGUAAAAUCCUUUUGAAACUGAAGAAUAAGCGUUGUAGGGAAUGACAGCGUGGUGACAGUAGGUUUUGAAUAAGCAACGGCUAAUUACGUGCCAGCCGCAGC
rnacentral:rRNA from 1 species